rnacentral:rRNA from 1 species
UACGAAGGGGGCUAGCGUUGCUCGGAAUCACUGGGCGUAAAGCGCACGUAGGCGGAUCUUUAAGUCAGGGGUGAAAUCCCGGAGCUCAACUCCGGAACUGCCUUUGAUACUGAGGGUCUCGAGUUCGGGAGAGGUGAGUGGAACUGCGAGUGUAGAGGUGAAAUUCGUAGAUAUUCGCAAGAACACCAGUGGCGAAGGCGGCUCACUGGCCCGAUACUGACGCUGAGGUG